UAACGUCCUGCCAAACCCGUC
rnacentral:siRNA from 1 species